GACGAACGCUGGCGGCGUGCCUAAUACAUGCAAGUCGAGCGAAUCAAUAGGAGCUUGCUCCUGUUGGUUAGCGGCGGACGGGUGAGUAACACGUGGGCAACCUGCCUGUAAGACUGGGAUAACAUCGGGAAACCGAUGCUAAUACCGGAUAAUUCAUUCCCUCUCAUGAGGGAAUGUUGAAAGUCGGUUUCGGCUGUCACUUACAGAUGGGCCCGCGGCGCAUUAGCUAGUUGGUGAGGUAACGGCUCACCAAGGCGACGAUGCGUAGCCGACCUGAGAGGGUGAUCGGCCACACUGGGACUGAGACACGGCCCAGAAUCCUACGGGAGGCAGCAGUAGGGAAUCUUCCACAAUGGACGAAAGUCUGAUGGAGCGACGCCGCGUGAGCGAUGAAGGCCUUCGGGUCGUAAAGCUCUGUUGUUAGGGAAGAACAUGUACCGGAGUAACUGCCGGUACCUUGACGGUACCUAACCAGAAAGCCACGGCUAACUACGUGCCAGCCGCCGCGGUAA
rnacentral:rRNA from 1 species